rnacentral:lncRNA from 1 species
GACCACUGUGGCUACCUUAGAAACUGCCGACCACAGGUGUCUGUGUCUGAAACCACCAUGAAGUGCAGGGUUAGGACAGACUUGGUGUCAUGAGUGAAGACAGAAGAAUUAUCUAUGCACUGAUGCUUGUGGAGAAGGUAGUUACAGAGGCGAGGACGCUGAAGCAAAAGCCAAGAGAUGUAGCUUCUGGUCCUGCUGAAAGCAACCAACCAACAGGGAAGCCUGGAGCAUAUUCAUCCCCAUUGCUCAGCCCUUUUCUUGACCAGUCAAGUUUUGGAAUCAGAAGUUAACACCAAUCCAGGUUCCAGUCCAUAUCAACAGCAGAGUAUCUAGUUCUAGAAUGUAUUUGGUUUGCCUGAUAUUGGACAUUUCUGUCAAUUCUGAGUCCCAGGGAUCUGUGGAACUGUGGCCAAGAGGAGUCAAAGCCAUGGACAAUACAUCUUUCUGAUUGGCAGAACGGAACAAAGAAUCUUCACUAUAAAACACACAUCAAGGAAGCCCCUCGUAGUGAGUGUCUGCUCUUCCACCAGGAGGAAGCUGGUUGUCGGGGGCUGAAAUGACUCUACAGUGCCAAUCCAACCUGCCACUGGAUGCUGUAGUCAGAAAUGGUGUGGGAUGAGAGAGGAGGGCAAGUCCCGAGUCUCCGGUGGAAAAUCUGCUUCUGGAUACCUGGUGCUGGGAAGAAAACACUGUCUGAGAUACAGUGCCUCCUCUGUGUAUGGCGCUGGAAGGUUUUCCUGGCCAGUCCUCACUUUGUGCAUUAAAGAAAGAACACUAUAGACACCAGUACUUAGUGUUGGAUGGAAAGACAUACCAGGCCUUCAUCAUGAGCAAUAAGAAUAAAGUUCACUUUGUGUUUAGAAGG